rnacentral:rRNA from 1 species
GAUGAACGCUGGCGGCGUGCCUAAUACAUGCAAGUCGAGCGAACAGAUAAGGAGCUUGCUCCUUUGACGUUAGCGGCGGACGGGUGAGUUACACGUGGAUAACCUACCUAUAAGACUGGGAUAACUUCGGGAAACCGGAGCUAAUACCGGAUAACAUAUUGAACCGCAUGGUUCAAUAGUGAAAGGCGGCUUUGCUGUCACUUAUAGAUGGAUCCGCGCCGUAUUAGCUAGUUGGUAAGGUAACGGCUUACCAAGGCAACGAUACGUAGCCGACCUGAGAGGGUGAUCGGCCACACUGGAACUGAGACACGGUCCAGACUCCUACGGGAGGCAGCAGUAGGGAAUCUUCCGCAAUGGGCGAAAGCCUGACGGGGCAACGCCGCGUGAGUGAUGAAGGUCUUCGGAUCGUAAAACUCUGUUAUCAGGGAAGAACAAAUGUGUAAGUAACUGUGCACAUCUUGACGGUACCUGAUCAGAAAGCCACGGCUAACUACGUG